AUCAUAUCCAACACUCACAACCAAGAUGAAUUAAUCACCAAAAAAUCAAAUUUGAUUUCAAAAUUUUGAUGAAUUUAUGCAUUAAGAAAUCAUAUAUUAAUUUAUCGUCAAAAUAAUAAAAAGUGGAGUAAAAUCGAUAAUUAAUAUAAAUUUAACUUAAUAUGCUUGUGAAGUUAAACCCGUUCAAGCACCUUUCCUUUUUUUUUUAAAAAAAAAUCUCUCUCCAAAUCAUAGAUCUUAAUCAUCUCUUUUCUCGAAAAUUUUGAAUUCCUAAACACAUUUUCCUCAAAAUGAUUUUUAAAUAAACAAAAAUUCAAUGCACCAAAAAUCAUUCAAACAUGUAAUGCAAUGAAUAAAAUUAAACAACAAGAACCAAUCAAAGCAUUACACU
rnacentral:lncRNA from 1 species